rnacentral:rRNA from 1 species
GUGGUGCAUGGCUGUCGUCAGCUCGUGUCGUGAGAUGUUGGGUUAAGUCCCGCAACGAGCGCAACCCUUGUCCCAUGUUGCCAGCGUAAUGCCGGGGACUCAUGGGAGACUGCCGGGGUCAACUCGGAGGAAGGUGGGGAUGACGUCAAGUCAUCAUGCCCCUUAUGUCCAGGGCUUCACACAUGCUACAAUGGCCGGUACAAAGGGCUGCGAAACCGUGAGGUGGAGCGAAUCCCAUAAAGCCGGUCUCAGUUCGGAUCGGGGUCUGCAACUCGACCCCGUGAAGUCGGA